GUCUUUGCAUCGGAACUAAACACAUUUAUUAAAAAAAAACAGUUGUUGGCAUGACACGGGUUAUGUUCUUCUCAUAUAUUUUAUUUUAUGAUAGUAUGAUACUAAACCCCUGACGGGAGAGAUUGUGCCUGAUAUUCAUAUGAUGAAGACAUAAUCUUUAAAUCGGUUUAAUUGAUGUCUGGAGCUGGCAUGUCAGUUAACUGCUAGUAGUCUGUUGUUAUUUAUGUAUUAUUGUCAUUUUAUUUAUUUUCUUUUUUCAUCGGACUCGGACUUCUCUUAAACUGAUUUUUAAUGUGCGUAUUGUUAUGCGUUUACUUUUCUACAUUGGCUAGAGGUAUUACGGGGGGUUGAGAUCUCAUAAACAUGUUAUAACCCCGCGCAAUUUUGCGCCUGUCCCAAGUCAGGAGUCUCUGGCCUUUGUUAGUCUUGUAUGAUUUUUAAUAUUUAGUUUCUUGUGUAUAAUUCUGAGUUUAGUAUGACGACCAUUAUCACUGUACUAGUAAACUUAUUUUUAGGGGCCAGCUGAAGGACACCUACGGGUGCGGGAAUUCUCGCUACAUUGAAGACCCAUUGGUGGCCUUCGGCUGUUGUCUGUUCUAUGGUCGGGUUUGUUGUCGCUUUGACACUUUCCCCAUUUCCUUUCUCAGUUUUAUUGUCACAAACUCAGCGGCCAUGUAUAAAAGAAGGCAAGUACAUUAAACAAGUUUCUCUGCUAAUUCCUGUAAAUGAAAAUCAAAUUGAUUCUCAGCAAAUAGAUGUAGAUUGUUCUAUUCGCCUUCUAAAACCCAAUCAUCAUCGCU
rnacentral:lncRNA from 1 species